rnacentral:rRNA from 1 species
UAACAGGGACAGUCGGGGGCAUUCGUAUUUCAUAGUCAGAGGUGAAAUUCUUGGAUUUAUGAAAGACGAACUUCUGCGAAAGCAUUUGCUAAGGAUGUUUUCAUUGAUCAAGAACGAAAGUUGGGGGCUCGAAGACGAUCAGAUACCGUCCUAGUCUCAACCAUAAACGAUGCCGACCAGGGAUCGGCGGAUGUUGCUUAUAGGACUCCGCCGGCACCUUAUGAGAAAUCAAAGUUUUUGGGUUCCGGGGGGAGUAUGGUCGCAAGGCUGAAACUUAAAGGAAUUGACGGAAGGGCACCACCAGGAGUG